rnacentral:rRNA from 1 species
UACAGAGGGGGCAAGCGUUGUUCGGAAUUACUGGGCGUAAAGGGCGCGUAGGCGCCUUCUAAGUCGAACGUGAAAUCCCCGGGCUCAACCCGGGAACUGCGUCCGAUACUGGAAGGCUUGAAUCCGGGAGAGGGAUGCGGAAUUCCAGGUGUAGCGGUGAAAUGCGUAGAUAUCUGGAGGAACACCGGUGGCGAAGGCGGCAUCCUGGACCGGCAUUGACGCUGAGGCGCGAAAGCCAGGGGAGCAAACGGG